rnacentral:misc_RNA from 1 species
AAGUCGUAACAAGGUCUCCGUAGGUGAACCUGCGGAGGGAUCAUCAAAGGAAAACUUUUAUGAAAAAGUGGUGGGGGGAGAGAGGGGGGAGAGAGAAAUCUCUUCCCCCCCCCUCUCUCUCUUUCCUCUUUUUCUCAAACAAAUGAUCACAACUAUGUAAUAAGAGACAUUUGGAUUUGGGGGUUGGUGUGGGAUAAUCAAUCAAUCUCUCAAGAAGAGAGAGAGAAAAGACUUCUUGUGGCUUUUCUCCCCUCUCUCUUGGACAAAAAAAGUGCUUGCCUGAUAAUUGAUGGUUGGAAAAUUAAAAGAAAUACAACUUUCAACAACGGAUCUCUUGGCUCUCA